UCCCUUUUACAUUUCACUUUUCAACUCGACAAGAUGUAACGUUCCUUCUUUUUGAAAAAUUUUAAUAAUUUGUAACUUUUUUAUUGUUUUGUUCCUAAAAAACACGUAAAUGUAAAUUCUUACGUAGUUUUAUCCUGUGUUUUUUAAAAUGUUUUGACUGCUGAUGAUGGUAUAAAUAAAUACCGAAACUAGUCCAAUUCCUUCUCUUUAUUUCCAGUUUGGUUAGGCUUUGACUUUAAGUUAUUCAUUUAUUCAAUUUGAAAAAUUUAACCUAACUUUGAGAUGGUCAACUCCCUCAACUUCCCCAAGGAAUUCGAAAAUGCCAGUCAGGCUGAUUUGACCAAACUGUACAUGAAAUACAUGUUGAAGAGGAAAACGUUACUUUUGAAGAUUUGGUUCAUUCAAAGAUGUCUCAAAACGAAAGUGGUACCUGUCUUCGUCGCCAUCAGAAUCUCGGUUUCAACGACUUCCUCCACCAAGGCCCUAAAGGCAGCCCAGAACAUCUGGAUGAAAGAAGAGGUCAAACAACACUACAAAACCCUCAAUGACACCAACAGCAGAUUGAAACAUCUAUUUUUCCUUCUAACUGCCAGUUUCCAUCAUGUGGAGUUUAGGAUCUUGGACCAGACCAUUAGGGACCGCGUUUUGAGUACAGGAACAACCUUAUUUUGUAAGUUGAAAAGUAAAUUGUCAAACUUGAUCACUAAAAAACAGUCACUUCAAAGGGUUAAUAAAACAAAGAAUUUUUCCAAACACAUUUUCCAUCCGCGCGUCAAAAAUUUUACUACCACGGUUUUUUCAAAUGAAGAAUCUACACUAUUAAACAAAGGUCUUAAAUUCUCUCCUCAAAUUAACUUAAACAUAAACCGAUUAGAAAAAGUCGCAGUGGAUUGUGAAUCCAUUAUUGAAUCUUACAACAUAGACACAAAAUCCAAUCUAAUAUCAAGCUUGAAUAAUUCGUUUAAUGUAGAAAAGAAACAAAUCUCUCUCUCUGAUAAACCUCCUCCUAAAGACUUCAAAAUCCUCAAAAGCUUAAAAGACAAAAUAACUUCCAAUAACCUAGUUUUUUCUAAAGCAGACAAAGGCAACACAGUCGUAAUCUUAGAUAAAGAAGCUUAUACUACCAAAGUCUUGGAGUUUUUGGAGGGCGGAAGUUUUAAACUACUUAAAGGGGACCCAACAACUAAAUUUACAUCAAUACUCAAGUCAGUUCUCUCUUCUACCUCCCACACUUUAGAAUUUUUCAACUACAAUAAAUACAGCUUAAUACCUAUGAAUCCUGCCACCCCCAGAUUGUAUGGCCUCCCGAAAAUUCAUAAACCAGACUGCCCCAUCAGACCAGUUGUGUCUUUCACCAAUUCACCUUGCCAUAAACUAGCACCUUUCUUGAACAAUGUCAUAAGAAAAUCAAUCAAUUUUAACAACACUUUUUCCAUCAAAAAUUCAAAAGACCUAUGUGACAAGAUAAAAGAUUUAGUAAUACCGUCCAACAGUUUUUUAGUAUCCUUUGAUGUUUCUAACCUCUUCCCGUCAAUUCCUCCUUCAGAAUGCGUUUCAAUUUUAAGAAAUUUUCUUUUGGAUUCAAAAUUAAAUAUUACUUACUCUUCAGACCUUUUAACUUUAACCGAAUUAGUAACAAGACAAAACUUUUUUCAAUUUAACAACCAAUUUUUUGAACAAACAUCCGGUCUAGCCAUGGGUUCUUCUUUAUCACCCCUUCUAGCUGAACUGUUUAUGAACAACUUGGAACAAAAGAUCUUAUCCCACAAGUUAGCAGACCAAAUAUUCUUUUGGCAUAGAUAUGUCGAUGACGUCUUGGUUCUUUUUGAAGGUUCCGAAACCGAUUUAUCUAAUCUUCUUAAUUUCAUUAACACAAUCCAUCCCUCAAUUAAAUUCACCUUAGAAAUCGAACAAAAUAAUAAAUUACCCUUUUUAGAUUUGCUGAUUAUUAGACACAACAAUCAUUUAGAGUUUGAAAUUUUUAGAAAACCCACCACCACAGAUACUUUGAUUCCGUUCGAUUCUCACUCACCAUAUCAAUAUAAGUUCGCAGCAUUCAAUUCAUUUUUUCAUAGACUAUUUAAUUUACCCCUGACCCCAAGAGCCUUCAAAAAGGAGAAAGACACCAUCUUUCAAAUUGGCGUCAAUAACGGUUUUCCUCCAUAUUUAAUCCAAAAAAUCUUUAAUAAAUUUGAAAUUAAAUUCUCUCGCACUUUUCAUUUAAUAAACUCCAAUCGAGAAGAGGUCCGUUUUUAUCAUUCUUUACCAUACAUAGGUCCAUUCUCAAGUAAACUAACAUCUUUAUUUAGAAAACAUGACAUAAAAGUGAUUUUUAGCCGUGGCAACGACCUUUCUUCCUCUCUGGUAAAAAAACAAAGACAAAAUAAACAUAGGUAACCACUCAGGAGUCUAUAAAUUAACUUGUGAAGACUGUAACGCUUUCUAUAUAGGCCAGACAGGUAGAAAGAUCAUUACCAGGGUCCUAGAACAUAAAGGAUACAUGGUGAAAGAAAUUCGAGAAAAAACGAACCCACCCUUUAAAACAAAAUCUGAAUUUUCGGACCAUCUAUUAAAUAACCAACAUUUUUGCAAUUUUAACAACUUUGAAGUUUUACACAUAUGCAACAAAAGCCGCAAACUCAACAAUCUAGAAAUAUUGGAAAUUUACAAACAUCUUUCUCUUCACAACUCCACUUGCGUGAAUGAACAAACCAAUUUUAACAAACCCUUAUUAAAUAAUUUCUUCAAUAUAUCAUAACUCGACAAUCUACUUUUCAACAUGUUCCAAAUCUCGUUAUAAUUAUUCUAGUUUUGCAAAAUUGUUUUUCUAAAUUUUGAUAUUUUACAGAUCCCUCUUUUAACCUUCUACUUUCUCCGUUAGAGGGCGGAGUUUCAUUGUACAAUUUUUUAAGUCAUUCAUUUUGUAGUUCCCUUUUACAUUUCACUUUUCAACUCGACAAGAUGUAACGUUCCUUCUUUUUGAAAAAUUUUAAUAAUUUGUAACUUUUUUAUUGUUUUGUUCCUAAAAAACACGUAAAUGUAAAUUCUUACGUAGUUUUAUCCUGUGUUUUUUAAAAUGUUUUGACUGCUGAUGAUGGUAUAAAUAAAUACCGAAACUAGUCCAAUUCCUUCUCUUUAUUUCCACUUUGGUUAGGCUUUGACUUUAAGUUAUUCAUUUAUUCAAUUUCAAUGUAUCUUUGUAAGGAAUCCCCGAAUGUUUAUUUAGUUUCUAUAUUUGGACUACAGUAAUUCUCUACAACAACGCUCUAAACUCAAAAUUCGCCACACUUAAGAAAC